CUCUAAAAAAGAUGUUUGUGAAGGUGCAGGUCCAGUCCAAUCAGGAUGUGAACGAUCCUUCAGUGAAGGACGGCAUCAUGCAGAAGAUGCAGGAUAAACUGCAGGAGCUGGGGAUGGCGGAGGACAACACGCUGACCUGGAGAAUGCAGCCAGACGGAAAUGUGUUUUACGUGAAAAACAACAAGAAAGAAAACAGCUCAGAAACAUGUGAUGUGUAACAUGUGCUAAAGCUAUAGUCUACUCUCCACCUCAUUUACAAAGACGACAAGGAGAGGGCCAUCUUUAUUUAGCAAUAGCUUAUCAACGACAUAACAGCUUAUAUACCAUAGCAACCAUCUAGCAGCACCACUGCAACCAGCUUUCAAUCGCUUACAAACACCAUAAAAACUCCUGGGAUACCACAGGAGGAAGUGGAAACCAAAUUAGCAGUGAACAGAUGCUGUAAAAACGCAUUUAAUCAAAUGACUGUCAAAUGACUGCAAAUUCCGUCAACAGUUUUUUUUUUAUCUGUUUUAUUGCUAUAGCAACUAAAUCUGGUGCAAAUCUGAAAUGUGUCACUUCAAGCUGAUUGUGUUAGGAGUAUAACGCUCCACAAAAGUUACAGUUCAGUUUGGACAUGACUGUUCGGUACGAGUUCUUUUAUUAUUUAAAAUAUCUAUUUAACUAUUUAAUUACAACUAUAUCAUAUUGUUAUCUGGUUUAUAUUAAUAUUCUUCUUCUGCUUUUUUCUGCUAUUUUUCUUCACCAUGUAACUCAUCCACUUUUUGGUUUUUAAAAUACCAACAUUGUUACCACUGGAGCACAUACAAUAGCAACACCUUAGCAACCAUCAGCUGUUCCAUAGAAAUACUUUAGCAAUGACCUAGCAACAACCUACCAAUGACCUUGGGUAUCACAGCAAGCACAGGAAACUGCAUGUACUCAUAACCACCAGGGAUACCACGAGUUUUCACCUAGCAAUACUGUAGCAUCACCAUGGAAAUCACCUAGCACCACCAUGGCAACUGCCAUAGAUACCAUAGCAACCACCUAGCAACACCAUAGCAUCACUAUGGCAAACACCGUAGCCUUCACCGGAAGGAGAACCACCGCAUGAACAGAGCCACCUGUACUCACUUUUAUGUGCUGUUCUUAUAAUUAACAAUAAAUUAUUUUAAAAUGAUAAAA